CCAGAAUGCAGUAAACAUUCCUUGACUCUCACAUUUUUCGGGGUAAGACCUCCAGAGCCCCGCUUUGGUUUCAAAUUUCUCAUUUCUGAGGUGCCAAGGUUGUUCACUGACAUACCUGAUAAAACAAGUGUGCAGCCUGCGGUUCAUCCCCGCUGCAGCCUGAAAUAAGAUUCUGUCAGUCCUCUGAGAUCUUAGCAGCUGCGACGCAGGAUCGUGUUCCCGGCACACUGGGGGCAUUUUUGAUUCUCUUGAGUCUCUCCUCCGUCAUUAUGCUCCCAUUCCUUUCUUUAUUCAUGUCCUCUCGGCCUCGGAGUGGUUCAUCAGAGGGUAUUUCAGCUUCUUUUGUGACUUGAACAGACUUCAGCAGCGCUCAGCCAGCCAGCGUGGCCUUCGGCUGUGAUCUCUAGAGACGGAGCAGAGCAGCGGGCUCAGGAUGAAGAAAAUUCACUUUCUCGGGGACAGUAAAGAAGCUGAGAUCCAGUCUGCUGUGGCGAGAACAAGCAGUUUAUUUGGUGCCUGAUAGGUAUGAAAUUAAAGCUGGAGUGUUUGUGUGUGCGUGGCUGAAAAUAUGGUGUUUACUGAAGGUGUAUUAUAAGAUGAGAGAGUCUGCAGUCUGUGCUAAAUUGGAUGGAUAUGAAAUGUGUGUUUACUUUCUGUUCUUCUAUUAGAGGUGUGUGUGUGUGUGAAGCUUCUCCAGUCUGUGAUGAAUCAGACAGAAGCAGUAACAGACCUGCCAGGUGUGAAGCAGAUCGCAUGAACAGUUCUCAAGAUUCCUGUUA